rnacentral:rRNA from 1 species
UACGUAGGGGGCGAGCGUUGUCCGGAUUUAUUGGGCGUAAAGAGCGUGUAGGCGGCCAGGUAGGUCAGCUGUGAAAACUCGAGGCUCAACCUCGAGAUGUCGGCUGAAACCAUCUGGCUAGAGUCCGGAAGAGGAGAAUGGAAUUCCACGUGUAGCAGUGAAAUGCGUAGAUAUGUGGAGGAACACCGAUGGCGAAGGCAGCCCCCUGGGUCAAAACUGACGCUCAUGCACGAAAGCGUGGGGAGCAAACAGG